rnacentral:rRNA from 1 species
GACGAACGCUGGCGGCGUGCUUAACACAUGCAAGUCGAGCGGUAAGGCCCUUUCGGGGGUACACGAGCGGCGAACGGGUGAGUAACACGUGGGUGACCUGCCCUCAGCNCUGGGAUAAGCCCGGGAAACUGGGUCUAAUACUGGAUAUGACUCCAUGACGCAUGUUGUGGGGUGGAAAGCCUUGUGCGGCUGAGGAUGGGCCCGCGGCCUAUCAGCUUGUUGGUGGGGNGAUGGCCUACCAAGGCGACGACGGGUAGCCGGCCUGAGAGGGCGACCGGCCACACUGGGACUGAGACACGGCCCAGACUCCUACGGGAGGCAGCAGUGGGGAAUCUUGCGCAAUGGGCGAAAGCCUGACGCAGCGACGCCGCGUGAGGGAUGACGGCCU